UACGUAGGGUGCCAGCGUUAAUCGGAAUUACUGGGCGUAAAGCGUGCGCAGGCGGCUUUGCAAGACAGAUGUGAAAUCCCCGGGCUCAACCUGGGAACUGCAUUUGUGACUGCAAGGCUAGAGUACGGCAGAGGGGGAUGGAAUUCCGCGUGUAGCAGUGAAAUGCGUAGAUAUGCGGAGGAACACCAAUGGCGAAGGCAAUCCCCUGGGCCUGUACUGACGCUCAUGCACGAAAGCGUGGGGAGCAAACAGG
rnacentral:rRNA from 1 species